UAUUAGUUUGAUUCUGACUAAAAAAUUAGUAAUAAUUAACAUUUCUUAUGCUUAAAAUAAAGUUAAACUAAAAUUUUAUAGGUAUCACAUAUAUGAGUUACUCCUAAAUAGCAGUGGUUGGAAUUGUAAUAAUAUACUAAUGUAUGAAACAAUUUAAAAUUAAUAAUUAGCCUAAGUCGUGCCAGCAGCAGCGGUUAAACGACAGAUUUCUAACAAGUAAAAUCAGAAAAGAUACAAUAAAUCUAGCUAAAGGUCAAAUUUCUAUACAUGAUGACCCCUAAGUAUCAAAAAUAAACUCUUAACUAAAACAAGGAUUAGAUACCCUUUUAUUUCUAAUUAAUUAUAAAGAUUGGAGACUACGAGCAAUAGCUUAAAAACCCAAGACCUUGGCGGUGUCUUAUUCAAUCAGGGGGACCUGUAUUAUAAUUCGACAGUCCACGUAUAAAACUUACCCUUUCUUGAUAUCAGCUUGUGUACUGCCGUCCAAUAGGCCCCUAAAGCACCCUAUAAUAAUUUUAACAAAAUUACGUCAGGUCAAAGUGCAGCUUAUUGAGAGGGAAAAUAUGGGUCACAGCCUAUAUUAUAGUAAAUUUAAAUUAAUAGUUAAUUUAACAUUUAGGACUUGAUAGUAAUUUUACUAAAAUAGUAAUAUGAAUUUGAACCUAAGACAAGCACACAUCGCCCGUCACUCCUUUAUACCGGAUAAGUCGUAACAUAGUAGGUGUAAUGGAAAUUGCAUCUAUCAAAUU
rnacentral:rRNA from 1 species